AGUCGAACGUGGCAGGACGGACUUCGGUCUGGUGGCGAGUGGCGAACGGGUGAGUAAUGUAUCGGAACGUGCCUAGCGGGGGAUAACUACGCGAAAGGGAAGCAUUACCGCAUACGCCCUUCGGGGGAAAGCGGGGGACCUUCGGGCCUCGCACUAUUAGAGCGGCCGAUAUCGGAUUAGCUAGUUGGUGGGGUAACGGCUAACAAGGCGACGAUCCGUAGCUGGUUUGAGAGGACGACCAGCCACACUGGGACUGAGAGACACGGCCCAGACUCCUACGGGAGGUGCAGUGGGGAAUUUUGGACAAUGGGGAAACUCCCUGAUCCAGCCAUCCCGCGUGUGCGAUGAAGGCCUUUGCACAGAAGCAUCUUUGGCAGGAAAGAAACGGCAUCGGAUAAUACCCCGUGCAACUGACGGUACCUUGCAGAAUAAGCACCGUUAACUACGUGCCAGCAGCCGCGGUAAUACGUAGGUGCAAGCGUUAAUCGGAAUUACUGGGCGUAAAGCGUGCGCAGGCGGUUCGGAAAGAAAGAUGUGAAAUCCCAGAGCUUAACUUUGGAACUGCAUUUUUAACUACCGAGCUAGAGUGUGUCAGAGGGAGGUGGAAUUCGCGUAGCAGUGAAAUGCGUAGAUAUGCGGAGGAACACCGAUGGCGAAGGCAGCCUCCUGGGAUAACACUGACGCUCAUGCACGAAAGCGUGGAGCAAACAGGAUUAGAUACCCUGUAGUCCACGCCCUAAACGAUGUCAAUUAGCUGUUGGGGCCUUCGGGCUCGGUAGCGCAGCUAACGCGGUGAAGUUGACCAGUCGGAGAUACGCAAGAUUAAAACUCAAAAGGAAUUGACGGGGACCCGCACAAGCGGUGGAUGAUGUGGAUUAAUUGGAUGCAACGCGAAAAACCUUACCUACCCUGACAUGUCUGGAAUCCCGAAGAGAUUUGGGAGUGCUCGCAGAACCGGAACACAGGUGCUGCAUGGCUGUCGCCCGUGUCAGUGAGAUGUUGGGUUAAGUCCCGCAACGAGCGCAACCUUGCUUAGUUAAUGGUUACGAAAGGGCACUCUAAUGAGACUGCCGGUGACAAACCGAGCAUGGGAUGACGUCAAGUCCUCAUGGCCCUUGCGGUGUAGGGCUUCACACGUCAUACAAUGGUCGGGACAGAGGGUCGCCAACCCGCGAGGGGGAGCCAAUCCCAGAAACCCGAUCGUAGUCCGGAUCGCAGUCUGCACCUGACUGCGUGAAGUCGGAAUCGCUAGUAAUCGCGGAUCAGCAUGUCGCGGUGAAUACGUUCCCGGGUCUUGUACACACCGCCCGUCACACCAUGGGGAGUGGGUUUUACCAGAAGUAGUUAGCCUAACCGUAAGGAGGGCGAUUACCACGGUAGGAUUCAUGACUGGGGUGAAGUCGUAACAAGGUAA
rnacentral:rRNA from 1 species